rnacentral:rRNA from 1 species
UACAGGGGGUGCAAACGCUGCUCGGAAUCAUUGGGCGUAAAGCGCGUGUAGGCGGUCCGGUAAGUCCGCUGUGAAAGUCGGGGGCUCAACCCUCGGAUGCCGGUGGAUACUGUCGGGCUUGAGUACGGAAGAGGCGAGUGGAAUUCCUGGUGUAGCGGUGAAAUGCGCAGAUAUCAGGAGGAACACCAAUUGCGAAGGCAGCUCGCUGGGACGUUACUGACGCUGAGACGCGAAAGCGUGGGGAGCAAACAGG